GUGCACAUUUCAUUGUCUUUUUUCUUCAUUCGAGAAAAAGGAUAUUUCUGAUGUGCCAGAUAAACCUUUGGAGGUAAAUUAGCAGCGUGGCUCACCUAGCCAUGGCUGUCAGUCACCUUCAGACAAGU
ensembl:snoRNA small nucleolar RNA SNORA19